AACCUUAUGGACCUGCGGGCGUAUACCUGCGGAAGGAUCAUUAUAAAAAUAUGGUCAAACCAUUCUCCUGUGAUUUACGUAAUCGUGUAUACUUUGGCAGGCUUUGGGUCAUUAUCGAUUCAUCUUCUACGUUCGUGCUAUAUGCGAAUGUCUGAAGCUGGCCUGCCAAAGGUUUUCAAUAAAUACACACGUUUAAACUACAGUCUGAAAAUCUCUUUCGAGAGAAUAAAAACAAAUAUA
rnacentral:misc_RNA from 1 species